rnacentral:rRNA from 1 species
UACGGGGGGAGCAAGCGUUGUUCGGAUUUACUGGGCGUAAAGGGUGCGCAGGCGGUCGGGUGUGUCAGAUGUGAAAUCCCGAGGCUCAACCUCGGAACUGCGUCUGAAACUACUCGACUAGAGUACUGGAGAGGGUAACGGAAUUCACGGUGUAGCAGUGAAAUGCGUAGAUAUCGUGAGGAACACCAGAGGCGAAGGCGGUUACCUGGACAGUUACUGACGCUCAGGCACGAAAGCAUGGGGAGCAAAAGGG